CGGGCCAGCCCCCUAUGUAAUUUAUUUUUCAAAACACAUUACAUUGUGAUCAUUUUCAUGUCAUUAAAAAUCUUCUAAUAUACUAUUUAAUGGUUGCAUAAAACCUUAUAUGCAAAUGAAUUAUAAUUUAUUUAAUCCUUCUUAUGGACAAAUAUUUAGGUUUACAACUUUCUGAUAUUAUUUAUAUACAUGUACAUAAUACUGGAACCUACUUCUCCAAUUAUUGUUUUAGGAUCAAUUUUUGGAAGUGAAGCAAAGGAUAGGAACUUAUUUUUAGGUUUUAAUAUAAUUUGCUACAUUAAUAUGACUAAUUUGGAGGUUUUUGUUUAUCACAAUGUAGUUUUGAAGAUGGUAUUCCAGACGUGAAGAAUAUUAGAAUUUUUUCUAAUUAUACUCAUGAUAUAAUGGCACUGUAUGUUGACAAUGACUUUAGAAUCCUCUCUACUCUGUGCUGUCUGGAGUAGAAACUACUGUCUUUGUUCCAGUCCUGUGGGACCCAACCCCUGACAUGAGUCAUCUGGACAGUAUGUGAGGAGAGAGCCAGGCCACUCAAUGUGGGAAUGCAAAGAAGGCCUAAGAGCUUGGAUGUAGUGAGAGAGAAGUUUAUAAGAUAGGGUAGGUAAAAUUUAAGGCAAUUCAUACCUGAUAGUUUCCAUUUCCUCUUUGAAAUAAGAGAUUAGGCUUUUCCAUAAGGAAAAGUAAAGGGGCCAGGAAAAGGUGGGAGGCUUGAACUGUAAAUGUCUGUAAUUGUUCAUUUAGAAGAGUAGAGGACAGGACAGACAACAUGUCAGUAACAAGCCCUGCCAAGUAGCAUUGAGGUCCUAGUUGAAGUUCAAAGUCAUCACACUGUAAUAGCAUUCACACAAUCAUAUCUCCUCCCAUGGUGAUUGGCUACUUAGGGAGGUAGGAGCGAUUCAAUGAUGUAGGUUUGAGAAACUGCAGGACACAUGGUAGAAAGUCAAGAUUAGCAGGGUUUAGUGAACUGGAGAGUGGAAAUUUGACAUGAAGAAAAGUGAGGUUUAGGUUGAAUAAGGAAGAAAGUAAGAGUAUAAGGAAUUGUUAGCUUGGAGAUGAGGGAAGGACUAAAGGAUAUGGAUUUCUGGAUGAGAUCCACGAGCCAGUGCUGUGAGAGUGAGGAAGUGAGAGUUAGCCCUGCCAAUCGUAGUUCAACGCUGUAAAUCAUUACAUCACAGUGUGAAUGAAGUUAUAUCAUAAAAGCUCACAAAUGGAUAAUGCCAUGUGUCAAUUCGAUUAUUCCCUCCUUGAAUUGACAAAUGAGUGCUGAACAUUCACCAUGUGUCAGGUGCUGUCCUAGAUCCUGGGGAUACAGAGGUAAACCAAACAAAGUCCUUGGCUUCAUGGAACUAAUAUGCUAGUGGAAGAGGAGAGAUAAACAAUAAACGGAAUAAAUGCAUAAACUAUGCAUCUUACAUAAAAUAUGUCAGAUGGUGAUAAGGAAGCAGGAGAGGAGAAUAGGGAGUAUUGAGGUAAGAGGGGGUUUGCAAUGUUAAGUAACAUGGACAAGAAGUAGAGGAAAAUGUGAUUGGAAUGAUGUGAAAGAAGGGACAAUGUCAUAUAAGCAGAAUCCAACUUAUAAAUGGGUUGAAUAUGUGGCUUUCCAAAUAGUCAUCUGUAUUUUGAUUAGUUAGAACUCAAGCUUCCUUUUCACAAAAAGAUGAGAUGAUUAAUUGUGAUUAGGGACCCAGGCAAUCCUGACUUCUUCACAAAAACACUUUCUAGGAUUCAUAACAUGUUGGAAAUGCCUUCCUUUACAACCCUGAGCUUCAAGUCCUUUUAAGAUUUUCUGGCCCCCAAGUCUAGAUUUUUUUUUUGAGUUCUGAGAAAAGAAGGGAGUCUGGUGAGCGAUGGAGGCUGGGAAUUUCUCAUGACAUUACAUCUGGGGGGAGCAGAGAAGUCAGAAGAGGGAAGAGGGGAGGUGACUCUAGUGCCUGGAGCCCUGACUGAGUUGCUGGGUGACUGUAAACAAAGGGUAGAAAGAAGCUCAGAAGCUCCAACAACAACUCCCCAAGGACACCUUGCAAAGCUUCUGGGCACAGGGAGGACACUGAGAAGACCUUGGCAGCAGUGGCUUCCUUUGGAAGCUUGGUGUUCAGAAAGUGGGAUGCUUGCCCUUGUUGAUUACCCUAUAAGCCAAUUUCUCAGGAGAUUCAGGUACUGAGUAUGGAGGCCACAGGAAAGUUUUCUACUUCUACUCUGGAAAUAAAAUGACUUCAGCAUCCAUGUAAUGAACAAGUAAGGAAAUUUCUGAUUGCUAUCUGACUUCCUGUAUGCGUCAAGGUUAGUGAAGUGGAUCCCGAGAAGAGGGGAAGAAAGAAAUGCACCAUCAGUUCACUGGGAAAAGAGUGGCAAGUAUGAACAGUAAAUGUAGACAACAAUUUCACUAGUUCUCAGAGGAAAUAUUCUUUGACUUAUUGCUGCUCUUUUUAACUCUACACUUUCAACUUACUCUUUUCACCAUAAAAUUUAAGCACACUUAAUCCUCUCUCAUCUUGAACAACAAAGUGAAAUAAACAUACAACUACCAUUUUUACAACACCCCCACCCCUGCCUGCAUCCCAGAUAGUACUGUGAAAGCAAGCUGUAUGUUUACUAACUCUAUUCAUAUUUGAAUUUCCCAGUGCCAUUUUAGUUAUGCUAUUCAGAUUCAAGGAAAGGGUUGUUUGUUCAAGCUUGUCCAGGUCAGUUUAAAGAGAACCAAUCCCAAAGAGCUCAUCAAGGAGGGGGCCAGUGUCAUGAGUGACACCUCAGAGAAGGGAGUAUCACAGCAUAGGAUCGGCACCAGAGGAUCCUGCCACCCUAGUCAUCAGGAAAGUCUCCUUUCUUGGCCACCUUUGUCAGUCUGCACCAUUCCUCUUAGAUUUUAAAGUCUGAAACCUUCUUGAGCAGCUUAAGAAAACAUAAGAUCCAAAGUUCUCAAAAUGUCAAAAAUAACCCAAAUAGAUGAUUCCCUUUAUUUUCAUAAAUGUAGCCACAAACAUGACAACUUGGGCAACUCUAUGCACUGUUUUACAUUUAGUGAUUUUUAUGACCCAAACUCUGCUAGGCAGAGUAAUAUAAUCAUUUGUAAUCAAUACCAAAAGAAUGCACCUGGUAUAAAAUGCAAAUUUCAAAAAUUGAGUAAGAUUGCAUGUUCUGGGCCUCCUAAGAUACUUGCAGACAUAAGAAUGCAAAACACUAAAGCGGCCAGUAGAGACAAUUGCUCUUUUCCUUGCUGUGAACAUGAAAGUGGGAAGCAGCAAAGAACAAUAAACAAAUGAACAUCCUUUUCAUAUUUCUUGCGACAGCUACCCGGAAUGGGUGGGGAAGAGAAAUGCAGAUAAGAAAAUUAAAACCACAGGCGCCUGGGGGCCAGUGACAGCCUUCUGAUCCUAAUUUCAUCUGGAGUUAGGAAGGCAGGGAAGUUCUAUAACAGUUUCCUCUGCAUGGCAGAGAGCUCCGACUUUUCUGGCAACAGCAUCUCCCUAGAAACUACACAAAGUCCCCUUUGAUUGCCUGUGAUCAAAGCCAUGAAGGCACUUCUGCAACGUCUUAGCUUCAGAAAGGCAGGAAAAUCAGAGUGCUGAGAGUGUAUCAAUAAUUCCUAAGCAUAUUUUUAAGGUGAGUGGUGCUUCUUAGAGAACUUCAUCAUUAUGAAAAAUGACUUGUUUCUGCCCUUCUUGUUGUACACCCGGGAAAAAAGUUAGCCUUAACUCUCCGAUUAGUAAGUUGCAUGUCAUGAUUGAUAUUGAAUAUGUGUAGUUAUUCUACUCAAAAUUUGUGCAGUUGAUCACAUAGAGCCAGAUAGCACUCAGUGAUGGGAGGUUCAAUAAACUGGAAGUCGGGAGACUCAGCUUUGUCAUCAAUUCAAUGUAGCCUAGUGGACAUGUCUAAUAGCCUUGGCCUCAGUAUCCCCACCUAUAAAAUGGGGUGAGGAGCUGGAGCUCAGUGCUCUCUGUGACUCCUUUGGGGCGUCCUCAUCAAAGAGGCUCCUAUUUGUUUGAUUCCACAUACCCUCAUUUAUAGCCAUGGCUGACCCUUGGCAAGACCGCCAAGUCCUGAGCUUUCUACUUGGUUUUCUUUCCUCCUCUUUCUGUGCCCUUUCUGCCAGGUUUGGUGUCUCUGUCAGCAGGAGAAGUACAGACAUCUUAAAAUGAAUUAGUAUGCAGCACCUGACCAAGAAAAAUUUGUAUCUUUAAAAAGUCAGCAAGCAAAAAAAGGAAAAAGAAGAAAAAAUGAAACCUGUAUAAAUGUGGGGA